rnacentral:rRNA from 1 species
GACGAACACUGGCGGCGUGCCUAACACAUGCAAGUCGAACGGGGCGCUUAUGAUGGAGAUUUCGGUCAACGGAUUAAGUUGCCUAGUGGCGGACGGGUGAGUAACGCGUGGGUAACUUGUCUUUCAGAGGGGGACAAGAGUUGGAAACGACUGCUAAUACCGCAUAAUAUAGAUGGGCUGCAUGAUCUUUAUAUCAAAGACUUAGCGAUAGAAGAUGGACUCGCGUCUGAUUAGCUAGUUGGUGAAGUAACGGCCCACCAAGGCGACGAUCAGUAGACGGAGUGAGAGAUUGAACGGCCACAUUGGGACGGAGAUACGGCCCAGACUCCUACGGGAGGCAGCAGUGGGGAAGAUUGGGCAAUGGGCGCAAGCCUGACCCAGCAACGCCGCGUGAAGGAAGAAGGCUUUCGGGUUGUAAACUUCUUUUGUCAGGGAAGAUGAACAGACUGUACCUGACGAAUAAGCCACGGCUAACUACGUGCCAGCCGCCGCUGUAA